UUUAUGGAGAGUUUGAUCCUGGCUCAGGAUGAACGCUGGCGGCGUGCCUAAUACAUGCAAGUCGAGCGAACAGACGAGGAGCUUGCUCCUUUGACGUUAGCGGCGGACGGGUGAGUAACACGUGGGUAACCUACCUAUAAGACUGGGAUAACUUCGGGAAACCGGAGCUAAUACCGGAUAAUAUUUCGAA
rnacentral:rRNA from 1 species